AUGACCGCAUAAGGAAUGAUCAUUCACAGAUGAUUCAAGAGGAACCCCCCCAGUAGGUCUACAAGGAACUGUCCAAUUACGAUUCAGACUACCAGAUGGGGAAAGAGUUUCCAGACAAUUUUUGCAGACUGACGACGUCCAGGGUGUGUAUUCCUUUGUGGGUUCUCUCAGCAGUAUCAAUCCCAGGCAGUACAGGUUGCUUGUGAGUGAUGUCCCCCAACCCCGUGUGUUACCAAAGGAGGGAACUCUUCUUACAGCUGGCAUUGCUGUGUUCUCACUGAUUAUCGUUGAGAACACCAUGCAGAACAUUGAAGACGAGUUAGACGCUCUUCAACAUUCUGUAUAUGAGACUACCAGGCCUCUGGACAUGCAUUUCGAACCCAUCGAAGUAGGAGAAGACACAUUCUCUGUGAGCGAGAACAUUCCUGAUUAUGAGGCAUAUGUGGAACAGAAUGAUCAAUCGUUACACAUUAACAGUCUUGAAAGUUAGAAGAAAGGAGACGCUCUAUCAGACUUACAUUGACUUGUACCGGUACAAAGCACAUCAAAGUUGAUCGAAACAAUAUCGUUGAGGAUGUUCUCGCACUCUAUACCGAAGACCCAGGUAUUGUAAAUAUGGAGGUUGUGGUCACAUUCCGCAAUGAGAGAGGUUUCGAUGGCGGUGGGCUUCAUAGGGAGUUGUUUCCAAUAUUUUGGCAUGCUGUUGAGCGACGUAUGAUGGAAGGGAAUGCAGAGAAAGUUCCAAUACUCACUCCACGAUCAGCCAAGUACUUUUACACUUUGGGUCUAAUAUUGUCACACGUACGGUUAUGUGCUUACGGGAUUUGUUCCUAUGUGCUUUGCUUCACCUUUUUCCUGGGCCUUAUCAACGAUCAAAGUGUUACACCUGAUGAUAUACUACUUCAAUUGUUCUUAAAUUACAUUGACCCAAGAGAACGUGUAGCAGUUGAGGCAUGCAUUUCCGCAAACGACAUAUCUGAUACUUCAGCAGUACAGUAUUAGAGAAUGUAAUCAUUCCGAUGCUGGCGAGAUUCAAUUGUGAUGUCAUCCCAAAGAAAGAAAAUAUCAGAGAGGUAUAGUACUACACACAGCUGAAUACGCUCUUGUCUGUCAACCCUACUAUGCAAUAGUACAAAAGGAGAGGGAUGUUGUGUGCAAAUCCAAGCUUGUGGAGACACUGUGCUUUAGCCGUAGGAAUUGAGCUCUGUCAUUCGCUUCUUCCAACGAAUAUGAAAGUAUGGAAUAUAGUGGAAGAGCCGGUAUAUCGCAACAGUACUGAAUCUAGGUGUUUCGAUUACCUCCGCCGGUUUAUUUUCACACUCUCUACUGAAUCCUUGUCUCUGUUGCUUCGAUUCGUUACUGGCAGUCCUCAUUGUGUAAACCAAACUGUGAGUGUGUUGAUUUUUUUGUGCCGUCAUCAUCAUUUGUUAGAAGGCCAACCGCAACAACAUGUGGGAUGGUUCUUCACCUGCCGUCUACUUACGAGUCCUUUUCUCAGUUCUCUCAGGAAUUUGGAGAAAUAUUACAAAGCUCUCACUUGUGGUCCUUCAAUAUUGUCUGAACAUCGAACAUUAAUUGAUUUAUGGUCUGAACUAAAAACUAAUGUUU